rnacentral:rRNA from 1 species
GGUGAGUAACACGUGGGAACAUACCUUGAAGUGGGGGACAACAGUUGGAAACGACUGCUAAUACCGCAUAAUCCCUGAGGGGGAAAGAUUUAUCGCUUUAAGAUUGGCCCGCGGAAGAUUAGGUAGUUGGUGGGGUAAAGGCCUACCAAGCCGACGAUCUAUAGCUGGUCUGAGAGGACGAACAGCCACAUUGGAACUGAGACACGGUCCAGACUCCUACGGGAGGCAGCAGUGAGGAAUAUUGGGCAAUGGAGGAAACUCUGACCCAGCCAUGCCGCGUGAGUGAAGAAGGUUUUCGAAUUGUAAAGCUCUUUCGGAUGGGACGAUGAUGACGGUACCAUCUAAAGAAGCCCCGGCAAACUUCGUGCCAGCAGCCGCGGUAAUACGAAGGGGGCAAGCGUUGUUCGGAAUUACUGGGCGUAAAGGGUGUGUAGGCGGAUUUGUAAGAUAGUGGUGAAAUACCUGAGCUCAACUUAGGAAUUGCCAUUAUAACUAUAGAUCUGGAGUGACAGAGAGGAUAUUGGAAUACCCAGUGUAGAGGUGAAAUUCGUAGAUAUUGGGUAGAACACCAGUGGCGAAGGCGAGUAUCUGGCCGUCAACUGACGCUGAGGCACGAAAGCAUGGGGAUCAAACAGGAUUAGAUACCCUGGUAGUCCAUGCUGUAAACGAUGAAUGCUAGUUGUCGGCAAAAGCCGGUGACGCAGUUAACGCGAUA